rnacentral:rRNA from 1 species
CUGGUUGAUCCUGCCAGACCCGACUGCUAUCGGAUUGGGACUAAGCCAUGCGAGUCAACUCCCCAAGGGGUGGCGCACGGCUCAGUAACACGUAGUCAACCUACCCUGGGGACGGGGAUAACCUCGGGAAACUGAGGCUAAACCCCGAUGGGCCAUGGCUCCUGGAAUGGGCUAUGGCUGAAAUCUACAUGGCCCCAGGAUGGGACUGCGGCCGAUCAGGUUGUUGGUGGGGUAAUGGCCCACCAAGCCUAUAACCGGUGCGGGCUCUGAGAGGAGGAGCCCGGAGAUAGGCACUGAGACGAGGGCCCAGGUCCUAUGGGGCGCAGCAGGCGCGAAACCUCCGCAAUGGGCGAAAGCCCGACGGGGUCAGUCCGAGUGGUUCCCGCUGAGGGAACCUUUUGCCAGCUGUAAACAGGCUGGCGAAUAAGGGGUGGGCAAGUUUGGUGUCAGCCGCCGCGGUAAUACCAGCACCCCGAGUGGUCGGGACGAUUAUUGGGCCUAAAGCAUCCGUAGCCGGCCCAGUAAGUCCUCCGUUAAAUCCAACGGCUCAACCGUUGGGCUGCGGGGGAUACUGCUGGGCUAGGGGACGGGAGAGGCGAGGGGUAUUCCCGGGGUAGGGGUAAAAUCCACUGAUCCCGGGAGGACCACCAGUGGCGAAGGCGCCUCGCUAGAACGUGCCCGACGGUGAGGGAUGAAAGCUGGGGGAGCGAACCGGAUUAGAUACCCGGGUAGUCCCAGCCGUAAACGAUGUAGGCUCGGUGUUGGGCUGCCUCAGUGGCAGCCCAGUGCCGCAGGGAAGCCGUUAAGCCUACCGCCUGGGGAGUACGGCCGCAAGGCUGAAACUUAAAGGAAUUGGCGGGGGAGCACCAC